rnacentral:rRNA from 1 species
CCUACGGGAGGCAGCAGUGAGGAAUAUUGGUCAAUGGGCGCAAGCCUGAACCAGCCAAGUCGCGUGAAGGAUGAAGGAUCUACGGUUUGUAACCUUCUUUUAUAAGGGAAUAAAGUGAGGCACGUGUGCUGUUUUGUAUGUACUUUCUGAAUAAGGAUCGGCUAACUCCGUGCCAGCAGCCGCGGUAAUACGGAGGAUCCGAGCGUUAUCCGGAUUUAUGGGGUUUAAAGGGAGCGUAGGUGGAUUGUUAAGUCAGUUGUGAAAGUCUGCGGCUCAACCAUAGAAUUGCAAUUGAAACUGGUGGGCUUGAGUACAGGUGAGGUAGGUGGAAUUCGUGGUGUAGCGGUGAAAUGCGUAGAUAUCACGAAGAACUCCGAUUGCGAAGGCAGCCUACUAAACUGUAACUGACGCUGAUGCUCGAAAGCGUGGGGAUCAAACAGGAUUAGAUACCCGUGUAGUC